rnacentral:lncRNA from 1 species
UCUGACCCCACCAAGAGGCCCUGCGCUGACCGGUCUCCCGACUAACCUCCCCCCUCGGGGUCCGACUCAAGUGCACCCGGGCCCCGCCGCCCCAGUGCCUGGAAGGAGGGGAGGAGACCCGCACCAGCACCGGCUUGGACUGGGCAACACGUGUUGGGGGCGGGAGGGGCGGAAUCGGGUGAGCUCAGGGUGGCCCAGGGCUGGGGUGCGGGGCGAGGCCCGACACUGCCCCGUGCGCUCUCCCGUCUCAGCCUCGGCUCCCCGGAAUCUCGGCGGGAGGCCCCCGACCCUCCGAAGAUAAGAAAACUGAGAAGCGGCCAGGCCCCCGCCCCUGGAAUGCGCAGAGGUGGAGGCGCGCCGCCCUCGGAACUCCCGGGCGUUGGCGCUUCGGGCCGGCGGGCGGGCCCUGGCCCCGGGCGCUCAGAGGCCUGGAACCGCGGGCCGGGCGCCCGCUCUGCCACGCAGCCGCAGAGGCUCGGCCCGCGGGCGGGCUGGAGGAAGAGAGGCGACGCCCCCCUGGAGCGCGGCAGGAACCCGGCCGCCGGCCCCAGAAGUGAUGAAAGCGGCGACCGAGAUCAGGUCACGCCGAAGCCGUUGCCCUUUUAAGGGGAAGCCUUGAAACGGUGCCCGGGUUCCAUGUUUGCAUCCGCCUCGCGGGGAGGAAACUCCAUGUUGUAACAAAGUUUCCUCCGUGCCCCCUCCCUCCCCCUCCCCCCUUGAGCCUGGCUCCCCUCCCCUCCGAAGCUCGCGGGGAUCCCUCCCUCCCACCCCUCCCCUCCCCCCCGCGCCCCGA